rnacentral:tRNA from 1 species
GCACUUGUUGUUUGGUGGUAGGACACCCCGCCUGCUAUGUGGGAAGACCCAGGUUUGAUUCCUGGCUGGUGCA